rnacentral:misc_RNA from 1 species
GAAUUUACAAACCUGUUCCAGAUGAAUCAACCUCACGGGUAAAUGUAACACAAGAAAGUUAAAAGAAUGGGUCACACAAGCAACAAUAUGAAAUCUCUAUUAGCAUUUCUACUUUGUACAAGACCAAGUGCAUCCAAAGAACAGAUAUUGUCACAGUUCUAUAAUCAUUUAAAAAAAGGCAAGUUUGAUGAGGCUGAUUCAUCUGGAACAGGUUUGUAAAUUCAAGCGAAUGAAGACAGAUUGGAAAUCUUCCAAGCCGAGGAUAAGCCUGCAGACAAGACCCAGCAGAUUUAACAAAUAAUUCUUUUCGGCCUAAGACGAGCAGCAGCCACUCUUCUGUGCAAAAGGCUGUCCACGGAUCUGCACUGUGGGAGGUCUUGCAUUGUUCGUAGCUGGCUGACUUGCCAUUCUAUCCUUUAUAGCAGCAGCCAUGGCCAUGAAAGCCUGUUCCACAUUAGUAGAAUCUUUUGCACUGGUUUCCAGGAAAGGAAUACCAAUCUCAUCUGCAAAUGCCUUUGCUGUUUCAUAGGACACAACUUUAUUUGCAGUAAGAUCACACUUGUUUCCAACCAGAAGUUUGUUGACAUUAUCACUAGCAUAUCGAUCAAUUUCAUUCAGCCACUGCUUGACAUUGUUGAAGCUCUCUUGGUCUGUCACAUCAUAAACAAC